GGCCCCGUAGCUCAGUGGAUAGAGCACCGGCCUUCUAAGCCGAUGGUCGCAGGUUCGAAUCCUGCCGGGGUCA
rnacentral:tRNA from 1 species